rnacentral:rRNA from 1 species
GAUGAACGCUGGCGGCGUGCCUAAUACAUGCAAGUCGAGCGAACAGACGAGGAGCUUGCUCCUCUGACGUUAGCGGCGGACGGGUGAGUAACACGUGGAUAACCUACCUAUAAGACUGGGAUAACUUCGGGAAACCGGAGCUAAUACCGGAUAAUAUAUUGAACCGCAUGGUUCAAUAGUGAAAGACGGUUUUGCUGUCACUUAUAGAUGGAUCCGCGCCGCAUUAGCUAGUUGGUAAGGUAACGGCUUACCAAGGCAACGAUGCGUAGCCGACCUGAGAGGGGGAGCGGGCACACAGGAGUAGUGACACGGGCCAGACACCAACAGGAGGCAGCAGUAGGGGAUAUACCGCAAUGGGCGAAAGCCUGAAAGAGCAACGCCGAGGGAGAGAUGAAGGUCUUCGGAUCGUAAAACUCUGUUAUUAGGGAAGAACAAAUGUGUAAGUAACUAUGCACGUCUUGACGGGACCGAAUCAGAAAGCCGCGGCCAACUACAU